UCAUGAUGAACGCUAGCUACAGGCUUAACACAUGCAAGUCGAGGGGCAGCAUGGUCUUAGCUUGCUAAGGCCGAUGGCGACCGGCGCACGGGUGAGUAACACGUAUCCAACCUGCCGUCUACUCUUGGACAGCCUUCUGAAAGGAAGAUUAAUACAAGAUGGCAUCAUGAGUCCGCAUGUUCACAUGAUUAAAGGUAUUCCGGUAGACGAUGGGGAUGCGUUCCAUUAGAUAGUAGGCGGGGUAACGGCCCACCUAGUCUUCGAUGGAUAGGGGUUCUGAGAGGAAGGUCCCCCACAUUGGAACUGAGACACGGUCCAAACUCCUACGGGAGGCAGCAGUGAGGAAUAUUGGUCAAUGGGCGAGAGCCUGAACCAGCCAAGUAGCGUGAAGGAUGACUGCCCUAUGGGUUGUAAACUUCUUUUAUAAAGGAAUAAAGUCGGGUAUGCAUACCCGUUUGCAUGUACUUUAUGAAUAAGGAUCGGCUAACUCCGUGCCAGCAGCCGCGGUAAUACGGAGGAUCCGAGCGUUAUCCGGAUUUAUUGGGUUUAAAGGGAGCGUAGAUGGAUGUUUAAGUCAGUUGUGAAAGUUUGCGGCUCAACCGUAAAAUUGCAGUUGAUACUGGAUAUCUUGAGUGCAGUUGAGGCAGGCGGAAUUCGUGGUGUAGCGGUGAAAUGCUUAGAUAUCACGAAGAACUCCGAUUGCGAAGGCAGCCUGCUAAGCUGCAACUGACAUUGAGGCUCGAAAGUGUGGGUAUCAAACAGGAUUAGAUACCCUGGUAGUCCACACGGUAAACGAUGAAUACUCGCUGUUUGCGAUAUACAGCAAGCGGCCAAGCGAAAGCGUUAAGUAUUCCACCUGGGGAGUACGCCGGCAACGGUGAAACUCAAAGGAAUUGACGGGGGCCCGCACAAGCGGAGGAACAUGUGGUUUAAUUCGAUGAUACGCGAGGAACCUUACCCGGGCUUAAAUUGCAGAUGAAUUAUGGUGAAAGCCGUAAGCCGCAAGGCAUCUGUGAAGGUGCUGCAUGGUUGUCGUCAGCUCGUGCCGUGAGGUGUCGGCUUAAGUGCCACAACGAGCGCAACCCUUGUUGUCAGUUACUAACAGGUUCCGCUGAGGACUCUGACAAGACUGCCAUCGUAAGAUGUGAGGAAGGUGGGGAUGACGUCAAAUCAGCACGGCCCUUACGUCCGGGGCUACACACGUGUUACAAUGGGGGGUACAGAGGGCCGCUACCACGCGAGUGGAUGCCAAUCCCAAAAACCUCUCUCAGUUCGGACUGGAGUCUGCAACCCGACUCCACGAAGCUGGAUUCGCUAGUAAUCGCGCAUCAGCCACGGCGCGGUGAAUACGUUCCCGGGCCUUGUACACACCGCCCGUCAAGCCAUGGGAGCCGGGGGUACCUGAAGUGCGUAACCGCGAGGAGCGCCCUAGG
rnacentral:rRNA from 1 species